GACGAACGCUGGCGGCGUGCUUAACACAUGCAAGUCGAACGGAAAGGCCCUGCUUUUGUGGGGUGCUCGAGUGGCGAACGGGUGAGUAACACGUGAGUAACCUGCCCUUGACUUUGGGAUAACUUCAGGAAACUGGGGCUAAUACCGGAUAGGAGCUCCUGCUGCAUGGUGGGGGUUGGAAAGUUUCGGCGGUUGGGGAUGGACUCGCGGCUUAUCAGCUUGUUGGUGGGGUAGUGGCUUACCAAGGCUUUGACGGGUAGCCGGCCUGAGAGGGUGACCGGCCACAUUGGGACUGAGAUACGGCCCAGACUCCUACGGGAGGCAGCAGUGGGGAAUAUUGCACAAUGGGCGGAAGCCUGAUGCAGCAACGCCGCGUGCGGGAUGACGGCCUUCGGGUUGUAAACCGCUUUCGCCUGUGACGAAGCGUGAGUGACGGUAAUGGGUAAAGAAGCACCGGCUAACUACGUGCCAGCAGCCGCGGUGAUACGUAGGGUGCGAGCGUUGUCCGGAUUUAUUGGGCGUAAAGGGCUCGUAGGUGGUUGAUCGCGUCGGAAGUGUAAUCUCGGGGCUUAACCCUGAGCGUGCUUUCGAUACGGGUUGACUUGAGGAAGGUAGGGGAGAAUGGAAUUCCUGGUGGAGCGGUGGAAUGCGCAGAUAUCAGGAGGAACACCAGUGGCGAAGGCGGUUCUCUGGGCCUUUCCUGACGCUGAGGAGCGAAAGCGUGGGGAGCGAACAGGCUUAGAUACCCUGGUAGUCCACGCUGUAAACGGUGGGUACUAGGUGUGGGGUCCAUUCCACGGGUUCCGUGCCGUAGCUAACGCUUUAAGUACCCCGCCUGGGGAGUACGGCCGCAAGGCUAAAACUCAAAGGAAUUGACGGGGCCCCGCACAAGCGGCGGAGCAUGCGGAUUAAUUCGAUGCAACGCGUAGAACCUUACCUGGGUUUGACAUGGAUCGGGAGUGCUCAGAGAUGGGUGUGCCUCUUUUGGGGUCGGUUCACAGGUGGUGCAUGCCUGUCGUCAGCUCGUGUCGUGAGAUGUUGGGUUAAGUCCCGCAACGAGCGCAACCCUUGUUCACUGUUGCCAGCACGUUAUGGUGGGGACUCAGUGGAGACCGCCGGGGUCAACUCGGAGGAAGGUGGGGAUGACGUCAAGUCCUCAUGCCCCUUAUGUCCAGGGCUUCACGCAUGCUACAAUGGCUGGUACAGAGAGUGGCGAGCCUGUGAGGGUGAGCGAAUCUCGGAAAGCCGGUCUCAGUUCGGAUUGGGGUCUGCAACUCGACCUCAUGAAGUCGGAGUCGCUAGUAAUCGCAGAUCAGCAACGCUGCGGUGAAUACGUUCCCGGG
rnacentral:rRNA from 1 species